AUUCAGCUGACGAGUCCCAAAUAGGACGAAACACUGUCAAACUGGGU
rnacentral:hammerhead_ribozyme from 1 species